rnacentral:rRNA from 1 species
GACGAACGCUGGCGGCGUGCCUAAUACAUGCAAGUCGAACGAAGCUGUUUUAACUGGUGCUUGCACCGACUUAAACGACUGAGUGGCGAACGGGUGAGUAACACGUGGGUAACCUGCCCCAAAGCGGGGGGUAACAUUUGGAAACAGAUGCUAAUACCGCAUAACCACAGAAACCACAUGGUUUCUGUGUCAAAGAUGGUUUCGGCUAUCACUUUGGGAUGGACCCGCGGCGUAUUAGCUAGUUGGUAAGGUAAUGGCUUACCAAGGCAAUGAUACGUAGCCGAACUGAGAGGUUGAUCGGCCACAUUGGGACUGAGACACGGCCCAAACUCCUACGGGAGGCAGCAGUAGGGAAUCUUCCACAAUGGACGAAAGUCUGAUGGAGCAACGCCGCGUGAGUGAAGAAGGUUUUCGGAUCGUAAAACUCUGUUGUCAGAGAAGAACGUGUGCGAGAGUAACUGCUCGUGCAGUGACGGUAUCUGGCCAGAAAGCCACGGCUAACUACGUGCCAGCAGCCGCGGUAA